GACCAGGGCCGAAACCGAACAGCACACCCCAAUCGUAGCCGUCUCCGGUGGUCUUCUUUCCGUCCUCCAUCGACUUCCUCCUCAUCUCGUCAAGUAUGAAAAGAACACAAGCGCUGGACAUGUUUCCGUACUCCUUCAAAAUUUCUUUGGUUGCCUCCAUCUUUUCCUUCAUCAACCCUAAUUUCGACUCGACCUGGUCCAGAAUUGCAGGUCCACCCGGGUGCGCGAUCCAGAAGAGAGAGUUCCAGUCCGCUAUUCCCAGAGGGGUGAAUGCUUCGACGAGGCUUUUCUCGAUGUUCUUCGAGAUUAUUCCGGGAACGUCUUUUAGGAGAUGGAAGGUCAGACCAACCUCCCGGAGGUGCCCGUCAAUUGCACCUGUAGUAAUUUUAAUAAACAAGAUUAAUUGAUAUGGGUAGGUAGGUAGGUGCGUAAGUAAUUAAUUAUUUACCAUUCAAUCAUUCAUGCAUUCAGUAAGUAUGUUACGUGGAUAGGGUAGGUGCGUACCAUCGGAAUCCGGAAGAAUUGUCUGAGAGGCGGAGAUUAGUUGGAAAAGAGGUCUUUCGAUGGAGAGGUCGGGAUCUGCACCGACGAUAACG
rnacentral:lncRNA from 1 species